GGAUAGGUAACGUACCCCGAGCUCCGGGAUAGCCAGCCGAAAGGUUGGGUAAUACCGGAUAACAUCGGAGGCCGACGGGCCUUCGAUCAAAGAUUUAUCGGCGCGGGAGCGGCCUAUCUCCUAUCAGCUUGUUGGUGAGGUAACGGCCCAUCAAGGCGAAGACGGGUAGCGGGACUGAGACACUGCCCGGACCCCCACGGGGGGCUGCAGUAACGAAUCUUGGGCAAUGGGCGAAAGCCUGACCCAGCGACGCCGCGUGCGGGAGGAAGUUCUUCGGAAUGUAAACCGCUGUCAGGGCAAAGAAAGUCCACUUCGGUGGAUUGAUCUACCCCAGAGGAAGUCACGGCUAACUCUGUGCCAGCAGCCGCGGUAAGACAGAGGUGGCAAGCGUUGUUCGGUAUCACUGGGCUUAAAGCGUGUGUAGGCGGAAACGUAAGCAUUUUGUGAAAUCCCCCGGCUCAACCGGGGCAUUGCUUGAUGUACUGCGUUUCUUGAGGCAGGUAGGGGUGCGCGGAACUCUUGGUGGAGCGGUGGAAUGCGUAGAUAUCAAGAGGAACGCCGGUGGUGAAGACGGUGCACUAGGCCUGUCCUGACGCUGAGACACGAAAGCGUGGGGAGCAAACGGGAUUAGAUACCCCGGUAGUCCACGCUGUAAACGAUGCCUACUAGGUUGUGGCGGUUCUGACGCCGGCACAGCCGAAGCAAAAGUGUUAAGUAGGCCGCCUGGGGAGUACGGUCGCGAGGCUAAAACUCAAAGGAAUUGACGGGGGCUCACACAAGCGGUGGAGCAUGUGGAUUAAUUCGAAGCAACGCGCAGAACCUUACCUGGGUUUGACAUGCUUGGAUGCCUUCCUGGAAACAGGGUAGGUUGCCCUUCGGGGUGAAACUUGCACAGGUGCUGCAUGGCUGUCGUCAGCUCGUGUCGUGAGAUGUCGGGUUAAGUCCCAUAACGAGCGAAACCCUUGCCGUUAGUUGCCAGCGGGUCAUGCCGGGGACUCUAACGGGACUGCCGGUGUUAAACCGGAGGAAGGUGGGGAUGACGUCAAGUCGUCAUGGCCUUUAUGCCCAGGGCCUCACACGUGCUACAAUGGCGGGGACAAAGCGACGCAAGACCGCAAGGUGGAGCCAAUCGCAAAAACCUCGCCCCAGUUCGGAUUGUGGGCUGGCAACUCGCCCGCAUGAAGCCGGAAUCGCUAGUAAUCGUGGAUCAGCGACGCCACGGUGAAUGUGUUCCUGAGCCUUGUACACACCGCCCGUCAAGUGAUGGGAGUUGGGAGCACCCGAAGUCAGGUUGCUAACCCGCAAGGGAGGCGCCUGCCGACGGUGAGUCCGACGACUGGCACUAAGUCGUAACAAGGUA
rnacentral:rRNA from 1 species